AUUGAACGCUGGCGGAAUGCUUUACACAUGCAAGUCGAACGGCAGCACGGACUUCGGUCUGGUGGCGAGUGGCGAACGGGUGAGUAAUGUAUCGGAACGUGCCCAGUCGUGGGGGAUAACGUAGUGAAAAUUACGCUAAUACCGCAUACGAUCUAUGGAUGAAAGCGGGGGAUCGCAAGACCUCGCGCGAUUGGAGCGGCCGAUAUCAGAUUAGGUAGGUGGUGGGGUAAAGGCCCACCAAGCCAACGAUCUGUAGCUGGUCUGAGAGGACGACGAGACGCACUGGCACUGAGACACGGUCCAGACUCCUACGGGAGGCAGCAGUGGGGAAUUUUGGACAAUGGGCGAAAGCCUGAUCCAGCCAUUCCGCGUGCAGGAUGAAGGCCCUCGGGUUGUAAACUGCUUUUGUACAGAACGAAAAGGUUUCUACUAAUACUAGGAGCUCAUGACGGUACUGUAAGAAUAAGCACCGGCUAACUACGUGCCAGCAGCCGCAGUAA
rnacentral:rRNA from 1 species